UACGGAGGGUGCAAGCGUUAUCCGGAUUCACUGGGUUUAAAGGGUGCGUAGGUGGGCAAGUAAGUCAGUGGUGAAAUCUCCGGGCUUAACCCGGAAACUGCCAUUGAUACUAUUUGUCUUGAAUACUGUGGAGGUCAGCGGAAUAUGUCAUGUAGCGGUGAAAAUGCUUAGAUAUGACAUAGAACACCAAUUGCGAAGGCAGCUGGCUACACAAAUAUUGACACUGAGGCACGAAAGCGUGGGGGAUCAAAACAGG
rnacentral:rRNA from 1 species